rnacentral:misc_RNA from 1 species
CGUCUUCUUUAUUUCGUUCUUGUAUGUUUUCGUCGCUGCAACAAUAAGUUCGCAGAGGAAAGCGCCGGUAAUUAGUGAACAUGGUUCACGUCUCUUUUUACCGCAACUAUGGGAAAACCUUUAAGAAACCAAGGCGUCCCUAUGAGAAGGAGCGUUUGGAUGCUGAGCUGAAGCUCGUUGGAGAGUAUGGACUUCGUUGUAAGAGAGAGCUUUGGAGGGUUCAGUAUGCAUUGAGCCGCAUACGUAAUGCAGCAAGAAUGCUUCUUACACUUGAUGAGAAAAACCCACGUCGUAUUUUUGAGGGUGAAGCGCUUCUAAGGAGGAUGAAUAGGUAUGGUCUUUUGGAUGAGAGCCAGAACAAGCUUGAUUAUGUGUUGGCACUGACUGUAGAGAACUUUCUUGAGCGCCGUCUUCAAACUCUCGUGUUCAAGUCGGGUAUGGCCAAGUCAAUCCACCAUGCCAGAGUGCUCAUCAGGCAAAGGCA